rnacentral:rRNA from 1 species
GACGUCGACCAGCGGCUCUAACUACUGCUCGCGCAACCCGGCGCCCAACUGCCGCUAGGUGGCUGGAAGGAACUCGUGGACGUCGGGCCGCUGGACGAGCAGGUAGUAGUCCUACCACUCCCGCAACCCCAGGCACACGCGGCCCUCGGGCAUCCAGUCGAGGCCGCUGCCCGUGAAACCCAUCUUCAAGUGGCGGUACACGACGAGGACGAGCGGCUCCUGGAAGAACUACAUCAGGACGAGGUCGGGGUCCGAGAGGCUUUAGUACCGCAUCUCGGCCUUGGGCUCGACGGCCUGGAGGAACGUCAUACACGAGUACUGUAGGGACC